AGCUAUGGGUCAAGUCCGAUAUCUUUAGGAGAAGUCUUAUUGUGAGGGCGAGUUUUAUAACACCAUAGGACUGGCCGUCCCAUAUGAAAAGAUUAUAUUAGAAUUGAAUGAAGCUUUGUUUAUAUAUUGAUAAUGACAGUAUAUAUAUCGUGUCUUGACUAAUUGCGUGCCAGCAGUCGCGGUAAUACGUAAGAGACUAGUGUUAUUCAUCUUAAUUAGGUUUAAAGGGUACCCAGACGGUCAAUAUAGCUUAUAAAAUGUUAGUACUUGACUAGAGUUUUAUGUAAGAGGGCAGUACUUGAGGAGGAGAGAUGAAAUUUCGUGAUACCAAAGGGACUCUGUAAAGGCGAAGGCAGCCCUCUAUGUAAAAACUGACGUUGAAGGACGAAGGCACAGAGAACAAACAGGAUUAGAUACCCAAGUAGUCUUUGCAGUAAAUGAUGAAUGCCAUAGGUUAGAUGGGUGGGUAGUCUAGUUGAGUUAAUUUAGCAAACUAAUGAUCUAGACUAGUCCACCAUAUAUUUGGUCUAUAAAUGAAAGUGUAAGCAUUUCACCUCAAGAGUA
rnacentral:rRNA from 1 species